rnacentral:rRNA from 1 species
GACGAACGCUGGCGGCGUGCCUAAUACAUGCAAGUAGAACGCUGAAGGAGGAGCUUGCUUCUCUGGAUGAGUUGCGAACGGGUGAGUAACGCGUAGGUAACCUGCCUGGUAGCGGGGGAUAACUAUUGGAAACGAUAGCUAAUACCGCAUAAGAGUAGAUGUUGCAUGACAUUUGCUUAAAAGGUGCAAUUGCAUCACUACCAGAUGGACCUGCGUUGUAUUAGCUAGUUGGUGGGGUAACGGCUCACCAAGGCGACGAUACAUAGCCGACCUGAGAGGGUGAUCGGCCACACUGGGACUGAGACACGGCCCAGACUCCUACGGGAGGCAGCAGUAGGGAAUCUUCGGCAAUGGACGGAAGUCUGACCGAGCAACGCCGCGUGAGUGAAGAAGGUUUUCGGAUCGUAAAGCUCUGUUGUAAGAGAAGAACGAGUGUGAGAGUGGAAAGUUCACACUGUGACGGUAUCUUACCAGUAAGGGACGGCUAACUACGUG